rnacentral:rRNA from 1 species
AUUGAACGCUGGCGGCGUGCUUAACACAUGCAAGUCGAACGUGAAAGUCCUUCGGGGCGAGUAAAGUGGCGCACGGGUGAGUAACGCGUGGAUAAUCUACCCUUAAGAUGGGGAUAACGGCUGGAAACGGUCGCUAAUACCGAAUACGCUCCCGAUUUUAUCAUUGGGGGGAAAGAUGGCCUCUGCUUGCAAGCUAUCGCUUAAGGAUGAGUCCGCGUCCCAUUAGCUAGUUGGCGGGGUAACGGCCCACCAAGGCAACGAUGGGUAGCCGGUCUGAGAGGAUGACCGGCCACACUGGAACUGGAACACGGUCCAGACUCCUACGGGAGGCAGCAGUGGGGAAUAUUGCGCAAUGGGCGAAAGCCUGACGCAGCGACGCCGCGUGAGGGAUGAAGGUUCUCGGAUCGUAAACCUCUGUCAGGGGGGAAGAAACCCCCUCGUGUGAAUAAUGCGAGGGCUUGACGGUACCCCCAAAGGAAGCACCGGCUAACUCCGUGCCAGCAGCCGCGGUAAUACGGAGGGUGCAAGCGUUAAUCGGAAUCACUGGGCGUAAAGCGCACGUAGGCGGCUUGGUAAGUCAGGGGUGAAAUCCCACAGCCCAACUGUGGAACUGCCUUUGAUACUGCCAGGCUUGAGUACCGGAGAGGGUGGCGGAAUUCCAGGUGUAGGAGUGAAAUCCGUAGAUAUCUGGAGGAACACCGGUGGCGAAGGCGGCCACCUGGACGGUAACUGACGCUGAGGUGCGAAAGCGUGGGUAGC